rnacentral:misc_RNA from 1 species
GCAAACUUGGUCAUUUAGAGGAAGUAAAAGUCGUAACAAGGUUUCCGUAGGUGAACCUGCGGAAGGAUCAUUACAAAGGUUUUACAUUGUCUGUGGUUCCUCCCCAGUUUUUUGCUGGGGAUCCACGACAAUUCAACCACGAUCAUCCACUGUGUGCACUCAUUGAACUAUGAAAUUUAUUUAUUUUCAUAGUUCUAAAAUAUCUUUUCUCUUUUUUGUUUGUCUGAUUUGCGAAAAAUUUUUUAAAUUUAAUACAACUUUCAACAACGGAUCUCUUGGCUCUCGCAUCGAUGAAGAACGCAGC